GCCCAGCCUGCUGCCACUGAGCCAUGCAGAUAUGCUGUCCAGCCCAUCACCAGUGAUUUGUAUGUAUAUUGGUUCUUCUGUUCAGCUCACUGCUGAACUGGACUCUCUCCUCUGCAGGUUCUCGCGGGCUGGAGUGAAGUGGCACAAUCAUAUCUCACUACAGCCUCAAACUCCUGGGCUCAGUUGAUCUUCCUGAGUUGCCUCCCGAGUUGCUGGUACUACUGGUGCAUGCCACCACACCUGGAUAAUUUAUUUUUUAAUCUUUUGUGGAGACUAUAUCUUACUCUGUUGCCCAGGCUGGAGUGCAGUGGCACAAUCAUGGCCUACUGCAAACUUGAACUUCUGGGCUCCAGUGAUCCUCCUGCCUCAGCCUCCUGAAUAGUUGGGACUAUAGGCAAGCAUCACCAUACCCAGUUGAUUUCCUCUUACUUUUUGUGAAUACAGGCUCUCACUAUUCUGGACAGGCCAGUCUCAAACUCCUGGGCUCAAGCAAUCCUCCCACUUUGGCCUCUCAGAUUGUUGGGAUUACAAGCGUAAGCCUCUGCACCUAGCCUGCAUUCUCACUUUUUAAAAAACAAGAGAGUAUCUACUUCCACAUUAAAUUACAUAGUGUAGAUUAUAAAUCUUUUUGAUCUUCAUACUGACAAAUGAAGAAAUAAAAUCUCAAAAUUUUGAUAUGCAUGUUUAUAAAUUAUGCUCUGCAUCCUUCUAUCUGAGAACUACUUGAAUUUACUUUUCUCUGCACUGUGGAACCAUAUCCUUUCUAUGUUUUUAAGUAGUUUGUUGUUAUUUUUAUAAUAUCGCAGUCCCUUAACUCUGGUAAAUUUUACAAAUACCCCUAAUAUUCCUCAUGUUUUUACUUAAAUUUCAGCUUUAUUUAUAAAAUAAAAUUUUGCCUGAGAGAAAGUAUUAAGUUUUGUGCUUCAAUUUAUGGUUUCUGGGCAGAAAAGAGUCUUCAUAUCUAGAAACAAUAUACUAUUCAUACAGAACAUAACUACAUGUAAAUUUGUAUAAGCACACAGCUUCAUGUCUUCUUUUGUACUUUUUUGACUUCCAAUUUUUACAUUUUAAAUACUUAAUUUAACAGGAAUGUUGGUAUAAAGCAGAAAUAUUUUUCCU
rnacentral:lncRNA from 1 species